rnacentral:rRNA from 1 species
UACGGAGGGGGCUAGCGUUGUUCGGAAUUACUGGGCGUAAAGCGCGCGUAGGCGGAUCUGCAAGUCGGGGGGUGAAAUCCCGAGGCUCAACCUCGGAACUGCCUUCGAUACUGCGGGUCUCGAGUCCGGGAGAGGUGAGUGGAAUUCCUAGUGUAGAGGUGAAAUUCGUAGAUAUUAGGAAGAACACCAGUGGCGAAGGCGGCUCACUGGCCCGGUACUGACGCUGAGGCGGCGAAAAGCGUGGGGAGCAAACAGG